rnacentral:rRNA from 1 species
CCUACGGGGGGCAGCAGUGGGGAAUAUUGGACAAUGGGGGCAACCCUGAUCCAGCCAUGCCGCGUGUGUGAAGAAGGCCCUCGGGUUGUAAAGCACUUUCAGUGAGGAAGAACGCCUGGUGGUUAAUACCCAUCAGGAAAGACAUCACUCACAGAAGAAGCACCGGCUAACUCCGUGCCAGCAGCCGCGGUAAUACGGAGGGUGCGAGCGUUAAUCGGAAUUACUGGGCGUAAAGCGCGCGUAGGUGGCUUGAUAAGCCGGUUGUGAAAGCCCCGGGCUCAACCUGGGAACGGCAUCCGGAACUGUCAAGCUAGAGUGCAGGAGAGGAAGGUAGAAUUCCCGGUGUAGCGGUGAAAUGCGUAGAGAUCGGGAGGAAUACCAGUGGCGAAGGUGGCCUUCUGGACUGACACUGACACUGAGGUGCGAAAGCGUGGGUAGCAAACAGGAUUAGAUACCCCUGUAGUC